UAUGGCCUACGGGACGCAGCAGUGAGGAAUAUUGGUCAAUGGGCGGAAGCCUGAACCAGCCAAGUCGCGUGAGGGAAUAAGGCCCUACGGGUCGUAAACCUCUUUUGCCGGGGAGCAAGGGCGGGGACGUGUCCCGGCCCGGAGAGUACCCGGAGAAAAAGCAUCGGCUAACUCCGUGCCAGCAGCCGCGGUAAUACGGAGGGUGCGAGCGUUAUCCGGAAUUAUUGGGUUUAAAGGGUGCGUAGGCGGGCUUUUAAGUCAGCGGUAAAAAUUCGGGGCCCAACCCCGGCUGGCCGUUGGAGCUG
rnacentral:rRNA from 1 species